UUGGAGGGCAAGUCUGGUGCCAGCAGCCGCGGUAAUUCCAGCUCCAAUAGCGUAUAUUAAAGUUGUUGCAGUUAAAAAGCUCGUAGUUGAAUUUCGGGGUCAGUAGAUUGGUCAUGCCACUAGUAUGUACUGGCCUCACUGAUUCCUCCUUCCUGAUGAGCCGUAAUGCCAUUAAUUUGGUGUUGCGAGGAAUCUGGACUGUUACUUUGAAAAAAUUAGAGUGUUUAAAGCAGGCUAACGCUUGAAUACAUUAGCAUGGAAUAAUGAAAUAGGACGUUCGAUCUUAUUUUGUUGGUUUCUAAGAUUGACGUAAUGAUUAAUAGGGAUAGUUGGGGGCAUUAGUAUUCAAUUGUCAGAGGUGAAAUUCUUGGAUUUAUUGAAGACUAACUACUGCGAAAGCAUUUGCCAAGGAUGUUUUCAUUAAUCAAGAACGAAAGUUAGGGGAUCGAAGACGAUCAGAUACCGUCGUAGUCUUAACCAUAAACUAUGCCGACUAGGGAUCGGAUGAUGUUAAUUUUUUAAUGACUCAUUCGGCGCCUUACGGGAAAC
rnacentral:rRNA from 1 species